GUUGGUGUCAUAAAGGGACUUCUUGAACUGACUGGCCGUGGCUUUUUUCUUAAGGUUAACAUUCUCUUGUUAUUUUGAUCCUUGACAUUUCCUUUUGCUGGUCUUCCCCUUCCAAUUUCCCGGUGAAGUGAGAAUUCAGAAUGAAAAUUUUUUUUUCAUUUGCUUUCUAUAAAUGAUCUGGGAAACACCAUUAAUGGAGUGCUAAGGACAAAAACCAAGAGUGGAGUGCUAAGUGAGAAAGAAAAGCAAAUGACUAUUACACAGUGGAGAAUGUUGAUGUACGUUGUCCGGGCAGAGUGGGCGAAGUAUGUUCUUAAGUUCAAAGAUAACUAGUGUGUAGGUUAAUUAGUAGUUGGGGAUAUGUAGCAUCAGCGUUUGGACAUGCAUAGUUGAGAUAUAU